GAUGAACGCUGGCGGCGUGCCUAAUACAUGCAAGUCGAAGGGAGUGGCGAACGGGUGAGUAACACGUGAGUAACCUGCCCUUUUCUUUGGGAUAAGCCUGGGAAACUGGGUCUAAUACUGGAUGGGUUGGGAUGGGCUCGCGGCGUAUCAGCUUGGUGGUGUGGUGAUGGCUUAACAAGGCUUUGACGGGUUGGCGGCCUGAGAGGGUGGUAGGUAACACUGGGACUGGGAUACGGCCCAGACUCCUACUGGAGGCAGCAGUGGGGGAUAUUGAACGAUGGACGAAAGUCUGAUGCAGCGACGUCGUGUGGGGGAUGAAGGCCUGCGGGUUGUAAACUGCUUUCGCCCGCGGAAUGGUAGGGGGUAAAGAAGCGCCGGCUAACUACGUGCCAGCAGCCGCGGUAAUUC
rnacentral:rRNA from 1 species